CCGGCACCCUUUUAACCAAAACCUGCAUUUCUAUCAAAUAUUAUUUACAAUGGUCGAGUACGUUGGUGAAAAUGGACAUCAUCACCUCCUAGGCUCUUUACAUGGUAAAAUUAGUUCAAUCAUGUGUGAAACUAAAUCAAUUUAUAGUGUAUGUCCCUCUUCAUUUCCAUCUCUUGGAAUUCUUCAGUCCUUUAGACUUUUGUUUUGCAGCCUGAAAGGCCUGCAUUUUUUGUUUCUUCCGAGCUUCCUUCUCAGCCUUUGACAUCUUUGAUUUGGCCUUCACUUUGGGAGCUCUUUCCUCGAGCUCUGCCUCACGUUCAAGUUCUCUUGCCCUUGCAUCAAGGUUUUUCUCCAGAUAAUAAUUGUAAUCGCCUGCAUAAUCUUGUAGCUGGCCAUCUUUAACUUCAAUUACUCUAUUAACUAUUUGCUUUAUGAAGUAUCUGUCAUGAGAAACUGUGAUGAUUGUACCCUUAUAUUCUGUUAUGGCCUCCUCAAGCAUCUCUUUUGAAGGUAUAUCCAAAUGAUUAGUUGGUUCAUCCAGAACCAGCAAAGUUGAAGGUUUCACCAUGAAUUUGCAAAAUGCUAGACGUGCCUUCUCACCACCACUCAAAAGGGAAACCUUUCUAUCAAGCAUAUCAGCUUUGAAAUUACAACGCCCAAGCAGUCCCUUUAUAUCAUCAGUUCUCCAGUCCUCUGCAACUUCUUCCACAGUUUGAAGCACCGUUUUAUCUAAAUCAAGUGCCUCCGCCUGGUUCUGCUCAAAAUAGUUGGGUAGUACAUUAUGCUCCCCAAGUACAAUUUCACCUGCUUUCUGCUUCACUAAGCCCAUUAUCAGCUUCAGUAAAGUGCUUUUCCCACAUCCAUUUGGGCCAAUAAUGGCAAUUUUCUCACCUCUUUCUAUUGUAAGAUUAGUCCUAUUAAACAGCACCUUAUCCUCAUAACUGAAUUCCAAAUUCUUAAUCAUUACAACAGUUCUUCCACUUCUUCCACGCUCUGGGAAGCAGAUCUUCAUUUGUUUGCGUUGAAAUGGCUUCUCUAUUUGAUCCUCUUCUCGAAGUCUCUCCAGUUUCUUCUCAGCAGAAGAAGCACGGCCAGAAUUUGCUCCUGCACCCAACCUGCUUAUUAAGCCCCUGGUUUGCUCAAUUUCCUUUUGCUGCUUCUCCCAGGCUGCAUACUGAGCUUCAAUCCAUGCUGCCUUGGACACAAGGAACUGAGAAUAAUUUCCCUCAUACGUCCUAGCCACACCCAUUUCAGUCUCCACAAUUUUUGUACAAAGUUGAUCAAGAAAAGCUCUGUCAUGAGAUAUGAUGACCAUCGGCACGUCUUGCUUCUGGAGAUAACCUUCAAGCCACUCAAUUGUGUCAAGGUCAAGGUGAUUUGUGGGUUCAUCCAAAAGCAACAAAUCCGGGUCCUGCAGCAAAAUCUUCCCAAGCGACAUCCUCAUCUGCCACCCACUACUGAAGGAGGCAACCAACCUAUCCGAAUCCUCAGGGGCAAACCCAAGUUCGGGCAUCAACUUACUGAUCUUGGCAUCAACUUCAUCCAAGUCCACAGCCUGUGCUCUCCUCUGCAACAAAUCAAACUCAUCCAAUAAUCUCCCCAUCAGCUCCAAGUCCUCCACAGCUCCCUCUAUCGCCUUUUGCACCUUCUCCAGCCUCCCAGCAAUCUCCAUUUCUUCUUCAAACGCACUCAUGAACUCCUCCUUAACAGUCCUACUCAAAGAAACCUCGAAUUCUUGACUCAAGAACGCGAUUUUCAUGUUGGAUUUCGCUUUGAUUACGUUCCCAGAAUCAGGUUCUUCCUGUCCGGUAAUAAUUCUCAACUGGGUCGUUUUGCCCGCCCCAUUCACACCUACCAGUCCUACUUUCUCACCUUUUUUCACUUCCCAAGUCACAUCUUUCAACACGGUGACUCCUUUGUAGCUCUUGCUUAUGUUUUCGAGCUUGAUACCCGAUGAAAUACCCGAAGCCCCAGUAUGCGAAUGCUUAUGUGCACCUUUCCUGCCGAAUUCAUCAGAAGAACUGCUCGAAAACAAGGACUCAAUAUCGGUCUCGGGCUCGGCAACCGAUGUUUCGACGGUGGCGGUGGAUAACUGAGCAGUGAUUUUUGAAUUCCCUCUUCUGCAUACAAAAGGAGCCGCAAUUUUGAGCGAACUGUGAUCGUUUUUAAUGGGUUUUGAGCUAUGCCUAAAACGGGGAAGUCGAAGAGAUUUACUGGCACCAAACAGAUGCGAACCGGUGACGAAAGAAGAGUGGAGGUCUAGACGGUGGAACUUGAUGGAUAAGUCCAUGUUUGGCAAAUGGGAAAUUGGGUAAAGGGGCUGAGAUCCUCGCAGGGAAACUCUGCGAAUUGAACAGAGUGAACUCAGAGAAGAACUUCUCAACCCAUUGACAAGAUAAUUGUAAAGGCAGAGGGCUUUAGAUGCAAUGGCAAAACGACAACGAAAGUG
rnacentral:misc_RNA from 1 species